rnacentral:lncRNA from 1 species
UGUAAUCCAAUUGUUGAGUAUAUUUCUGAAAUGGAAGGGUUUAUUUUGUCUAGGAUUGAUGCUAGCUCAAUACUCUGCUUAUGGAUUUUCACUCUGAUGACAGAAAGAAUUUUUCUCAGACUAGCUUUCAGCUAUCUCUAUUGGAGGCUUGUUUUUCCCAUACCAAAGUCAUUUUGGAGUGUAUACCUUAGGGCCCAUUCUGAGUUCAGCAUCAGGAAGCUGGGUGAUUGCACACAGUGAACAAAGGUGUACUCCUAGAUGCAAUUCUCACUCUAGGAUCUAAUAAAAACAGAACCAUUCAUAACAUGACUGUGAACCAAUAUUUAUCACUAAACCUAACCCAAAUAUGAGUAUCCUCAACUCAACUUCCCCUUAGCCAAAUAUCAAAAAUACAGCUACGCCAGCGUCACCCAAUAUAAGGAGAAGUGCCAAGAAGGGAGCUGGAAGUGAGACAGAGAGAAAAAGCAAUCCUCAUCAAUUUGCUUAAAAUGUAUGACAUCAAUAUAUUUAAAAAGGAUAUGAGCACAUGAGCACAUUACUAG